rnacentral:rRNA from 1 species
AGAGUUUGAUCCUGGCUCAGAUUGAACGCUGGCGGAAUGCUUUACACAUGCAAGUCGAGCGGCAGCGCGGGGGCAACCCUGGCGGCGAGCGGCGGACGGGUGAGUAAUGCAUCGGAACGUGUCCUCUUGUGGGGGAUAACCAGUCGAAAGACUGGCUAAUACCGCAUGAGCUCGUAAGAGGAGAGCAGGGGACCCGCAAGGGCCUUGCGCGAGAGGAGCGGCCGAUGCCCGAUUAGCUAGUUGGUGGGGUAAAAGCCCACCAAGGCGACGAUCGGUAGCUGGUCUGAGAGGACGACCAGCCACACUGGGACUGAGACACGGCCCAGACUCCUACGGGAGGCAGCAGUGGGGAAUUUUGGACAAUGGGCGCAAGCCUGAUCCAGCCAUGCCGCGUGUGUGAAGAAGGCCUUCGGGUUGUAAAGCACUCUCGGACGGAACGAAAUCGCGCGUGUUAACACCUCGCGUGGAUGACGGUACCGUAAGAAGAAGCACCGGCUAACUACGUGCCAGCAGCCGCGGUAAU